rnacentral:sRNA from 1 species
CUAUGUGAAGUCUACCAAGCUCGUGCUCAAGGGAACCAAGACGAAGAGUAAGAAGAAAAAGAGCAAAGAUAAGAAAAGAAAAAGAGAAGAAGAUGAAGAAACCCAGCUUGAUAUUGUUGGAAUCUGGUGGACAGUAACAAACUUUGGUGAAAUUUCAGGAACCAUAGCCAUUGAAAUGGAUAAGGGAACCUAUAUACAUGCACUCGACAAUGGUCUUUUUACCCUGGGAGCUCCACACAAAGAAGUUGAUGAGGGCCCUAGUCCUCCAGAGCAGUUUACGGCUGUCAAAUUAUCUGAUUCCAGAAUCGCCCUGAAGUCUGGCUACGGAAAAUAUCUUGGUAUAAAUUCAGAUGGACUUGUUGUUGGGCGUUCAGAUGCAAUUGGACCAAGAGAACAAUGGGAACCAGUCUUUCAAAAUGGGAAAAUGGCUUUGUUGGCCUCAAAUAGCUGCUUUAUUAGAUGCAAUGAAGCAGGGGACAUAGAAGCAAAAAGUAAAACAGCAGGAGAAGAAGAAAUGAUCAAGACCUACAGAUUUGACAGUGAAGUGCUUCUCAAAGUGCUUUCAAAAUAAAUUACCUACUUAGCUGGGCAUGGUGGUACAUGCCUAUAGGCCCAGCUACUCGGGAGGCUGAGACAGGAGGAUUGUUUGAGCCCAGGAGUUCAAGGCUGCAGUGAGCUCUGAUCACCACUGCCUUCCAGCCUGGGUGGCAGAGCAAGACCGUGUCUGAAAAAAUGAAACUGAUGGACAAGAAGAGACGACACAAUGUAGCCUCUAGGACAGAGCACUGAGCUAAAUGCUUUUCUUUUCUUGAGGCUUCAGUUUUCCUAAUCAUCCUAC